rnacentral:rRNA from 1 species
GACGUAGGGCGCGAGCGUUUGUCCGGAUUUAUUGGGCGUAAAGAGCUCGUAGGCGGCUUGUCGCGUCGACUGUGAAAUCCCGCGGCUCAACUGCGGGUCUGCAGUCGAUACGGGCAGGCUAGAGUUCGGUAGGGGAGACUGGAAUUCCUGGUGUAGCGGUGAAAUGCGCAGAUAUCAGGAGGAACACCGGUGGCGAAGGCGGGGUCUCUGGGCAGUAACUGACGCUGAGGAGCGAAAGCGUGGGGAGCGAACAGG